rnacentral:rRNA from 1 species
AUGAAAGCUCUAUUCUGGAACAUUAGAGGUUUCGGCGCUAGGGGGCGCCGAGACCAAAUUAGAGACGUUGUUCGUGGUGAUAAUGUUGACAUUCUAGGGCUGGUUGAAACUUUCAAAGAAUCCUUCUCCCCUAAUGAACUUUCUGCGAUUGCGGGCGUGGACAGGUUUGACUGGCACUUCCUUCCCUCUUCUGGCCACUCGGGAGGGAUUCUUAUAGGCUCUAAACGGGAUGUGUUUGAUUUUGUGGCUUUCGAUCAUGGCAUUUUCUGGUCUAGUGCAGUAGUGCAUCACAGAUCUCUGAACACCCUAUGGGAAUUCAUGGUCGUAUACGGCCUGGCUGAUCACUCGUUGACCUCCUUAUUUCUUGAUGAGCUCUCCUCUAAAAUUGAGGCCUGCACAAUUCCGAUUGUUAUCGGAGGCGAUUUUAACCCCCUUCGCACCCCCUCAGAUAAGAGUAAUCUAAACUUCUCCUGGCCUCUGGCGAACGCGUUUAACAACUUCAUUAGCAACUGUGCUAUCCGUGAGUUACCCAGGGUGGGUGCUCGUUUUACUUGGUCUAAUCAUCAGGAUAUCCCGAUCAGGUCGGUGCUGGAUUGGAUUUUUAUUUGUUCCAGGUGGGACUCCCUUUUUCCUCGUGCCUCCCUAUUGACAAAAUCCAAUGUGGGCUCGAAUCACACCCCACUCCUUCUUGAUGCUGGUCUGCAGCAACCUGUGUCCUCUUCUCGUUUCUAG